AGCUGAGUGUGAAGACCUGAGAUAUUGGGAGUAGGGGUUGCUCUGCUUGUGUAAGUCCCAGAGUGUGAAUGCCAGAGAACCAAGAGCGAGCAUCACGACCUGUGCAAACUCACCAGCAUCAUAACAGGAAGGUCCCAUGAUCAUGAGCACAUUGCCUUCAGCAUCUAGCACUGAAUAUGGUGAAUUGCACUCUGAAGAGCUUCCUAAGCUCAUAACAAAGUGAUUCUGAAAAGCUCAACAUUUUGGUCGAAUGGAGAGAUUUGACAUUGCUUCUGCUCCAAAAGGAACAGAGUUGGGAAGGGCAGCCUGGGAGUUGAGAAUAUCCACCACAGAGAGGCCUGGCAAAAGGAGAUGGGACUCACACCCACGAGGAUGCAUUUCCAUACACCCAUUUCUGAAAUAUGAAGAGGUGUCCAGUCUGUUUGAUUCAUAGCUGCCUGUUCCACAACUGCAGAUACACCCAGAAGCUAAAAAUCACCUGUUAUCUUGGAAGUAAUCCCUGGAGGAUCAAGUCCAAGGGGGAAAAGUGGACUGGUCACCCCAGCUGAGGUUAUCUAAAUUCCAUGGCUUACUCCAGACAGGAAGCCCCACAUCCUGCAGCCUCAUUCAUAAUCCAUAAUAGAUGAUGUUCUUGGAUCCCAAGUUGAGAAAAGAAGUUAACUCUGCACAUUUUGGCAAAGAUGCAGACCAGGGUUUGAUCUAAGCAGCUAUCACAUAAAAUAAAGUACAAAUGGAAAUGGCAAAAAUAUGCCCAUAUCACAGCGCAGAGUAUGCCAAAGCUGACCGAAAAAUUAUACAUUUUUCAUGUUUCAACAAAGGUACUUAACUGGCA
rnacentral:antisense_RNA from 1 species